AUACGGAAGGUCCGGGCGUUAUCCGGAUUUAUUGGGUUUAAAGGGAGCGCAGGCGGAGAUGCAAGCGUGACGUCAAAUUUCGGGGCUCCACCCCGUCUCGCGUCGCGAACUGCGUCCCUUGGUUGCGGGAAGGGGAGGCGGAACUCGUGGUGUAGCGGUGAAAUGCAUAGAUAUCACGAAGAACUCCGAUCGCGAAGGCAGCCUUCCGGCCCGUCAACGACGCUCAUGCUCGAAGGUGCGGGUAUCAAACAGGAUUAGAUACCCUGGUAGUCCACGCAGUAAACGAUGAUUACUAGCUGUUUGCGAUACAAUGUAAGCGGCUGAGCGAAAGCGUUAAGUAAUCCACCUGGGGAGUACGUUCGCAAGAAUGAAACUCAAAUGAAUUGGCGAGG
rnacentral:rRNA from 1 species